GGUGAUAUAGCUCAACUGGUAGAGUAUUUGCCUGGCAAGCACAAAGUCCUGGGUUCAAUCCCCAGCACCA
rnacentral:tRNA from 1 species